rnacentral:rRNA from 1 species
UCCUUUAACUGGAGAAUAGCCCCUCGAAAGAGGAAUUAAUACUCCGUAACAUAUACAUGUGGCAUCACAAGUAUAUUAUAGCUCCGGCGGUUAAAGAUGGGCGUGCGCCUGAUUAGAUAGUUGGCGGGGUAACGGCCCACCAAGUCUGCGAUCAGUAACUGGUGUGAGAGCACGACCAGUCACACGGGCACUGAGACACGGGCCCG